GCUCCGUUAUUUGCAGUGGCCAGUGCGAGGUUGUGUAUGAAUGGGGUACUUGGUAUUCAGUGCGACUUUCUCGUCAGCCAGUGCUAGUGUAGUUCUCGUCAGCCAGUAGUCAUACCUGAAGUAGGCAAAAUAGAAAUAGCCGGGGGCACCUUUGGAUGGGAAUAUCGUCACUGCACUGCAAAUGGAUCAGGUCGCCGCGGUGACGAUAAUGGCACCCUAUAAAAAGGCGUUGUCCACGACAUCAAGUUGAAGACUAGUUUUUGCUGAAUCUCCAGUUGAAUUCUUAUAAUAGGCUUUGGGCGCGACAAUUGGAUCUACUGCUAAUGCAUCGGAUCAGGACAGCCACAUCGGACACAAGAAAAAGAAGAGGAAACGUGGAGAGGUGCCCUUGAGGAGGAGGUAGAGCGGCUUGAAGCACAUUAGCAGAUUGAAAAGUCAGUGCAGCGCAUCUUCAAGCCACGACUGUCAAACGAGAAUCGGAAACUAGCAAUUUCCAGGGGAUCGUUCAGGGAACAUGGAGCACGCACUACUAUCACUACUCAGAGCAUUCUGUCUACACUGUCUACUCUGUCUACACUGUCUACUGCUGUACACAUCCUGUGUGAGCUCUGCACCGUCAUCUCCAUCUGACUAUGCCUCAGACGUCACUGAUGCACGAGGCGCAUACGAGGGACCUCAGUUGGAGCUACCGAGUGCCGUUCUACGCAAAGCGCGUUCGGCGGUGCCACACGAAGUAUUAGACGUGGCCCGCGGUCCAAUCAUCGACAAGUAUGUACAGCCGGAAAGCCCUCUUGUUGAUGCAGGUGAGCGAAACUUACGUUAUGAGCUUCGGCCAGCGCAUAGAGGACCAGUAUUCCAGCCAAACCGACCGGUUUUGCCAUCGUCGCAGUCGGGUGCCUCGGGCAUCACCCACACACAACGCUCUCUACCACAUAACAUGAGAUGUCAACCGCGAAAUGUUACCCGUCUCAUACGCUAUCGAGGUGAGGGUCUGGUAUGCGUGGGUAACGCCACAUUCGGUGUGUGUGACGGGUACUGCAAGACGACUGCGCGCACGAAGAUCAAGAACGACUACCCGUUCGUGAAAACCAUUCACCGCUCAUGUCACUUGUACGAAGCAACUGCAGCAAUGGCCAGACUAGUGUGUAGGUAUGGUCCCGGGCAGUCACGUGGUCCCGGGCAGUCACGUGGACGCACACUGAUCACACCUAACGCUACCGCAGAGAAAACCAUACCCAUUCUACACGCUACCAGGUGUGUGUGUAAGCAAUGCGUGGAAAGCCUGGAUGUGGUGCAAACCUAGGGAUUAUGCUAGCCAGUCCUCUGACGUCAGCUCUUCUAUGCGAAUUCACGUCUCCGAACUCACCUUUCCGAAUUUGCCCCUCCAGAGUGGAGUUACGGAACCCUGACGUCAUGACCUAAACCAUUGGUUACAAGGUGUCAUGACAUGAGCAUCAUUCUGUGCAUUCACAACGUCACAAGCAAAGCGCAUUCAAUGGAAAUCUGCUUCUAAAAUUACAUUAUGAUACUCGUGCGACUCGGGUGAAUGUUUCAUGCUAUUGGUCAUAUUCAGCUACUUGUUGAUGCUCAGAUACGAAAUGAUCCGGUUUACUGUAGCAAGCCUCUUUUGAUCAGGCUUACUUUGUAAUUCUACGCAUUGGUUCGAGACCACAAAGCGCACACACUCCCAUAUGAGGCUCACUGACAAUGAUUUCCUCGUUGAACUCAAAUUCAAAACUGAUUCCGAAUACAAUUGAAUAGAUUGCACCAGUUUAGUACCUAUUCAUCACGAAGCUGCAUAAAGAUGAAUUAUUCAUGUAUGUGAUUUACUCUAUCUGUGACCGGGAUUGAUUUCUGUGAUUCACUCUUCGCUCAGUAAUACACCAGUUCACUUCAGCACCACAUGCGAGACUUCCUAAAACUUCUGGCUGUGUUUCUCAACACUGUACAUCUUUGUACAUGUAGCUGGCUGUAACGCGAAUAAUAAUGUGAACUAUACUUCACAACGUUUCGUCAGAAUUCCCAAACUCCAUUG